rnacentral:rRNA from 1 species
AGCGAACGCUGGCGGCAGGCCUAACACAUGCAAGUCGAACGAACUCUUCGGAGUUAGUGGCGGACGGGUGAGUAACACGUGGGAACGUGCCUUUUGGUUCGGAAUAACUCAGGGAAACUUGUGCUAAUACCGAAUGUGCCCUUCGGGGGAAAGAUUUAUCGCCAUUAGAGCGGCCCGCGUCUGAUUAGCUAGUUGGUGAGGUAACGGCUCACCAAGGCGACGAUCAGUAGCCGGUCUGAGAGGAUGACCAGCCACACUGGGACUGAGACACGGCCCAGACUCCUACGGGAGGCAGCAGUGGGGAAUCUUGCGCAAUGGGCGAAAGCCUGACGCAGCCAUGCCGCGUGAAUGAUGAAGGUCUUAGGAUUGUAAAAUUCUUUCACCGGGGACGAUAAUGACGGUACCCGGAGAAGAAGCCCCGGCUAACUUCGUG